GCCUAUCUCGACCGGCGCCGCCGAAACAACGAAGCCGCCCGUAAAUCCAGAGAAUCUCGCAAGAAAGUCGAUCAGGACAAUAGUGUUCGUGUAACAUAUUUGGAGAGGGAAAAUCAAUGCUUGCGAGUCUACGUCCAACAGCUCCAACUACAAAACGAAUCGAUGAGACAACAUUUGCUCCUGCAAAAUCCGGGCACUAUAGACACUAUGGACCCGAUUGCCAUGGCGAAUAUGCCGAGUUAUUAA
rnacentral:misc_RNA from 1 species